rnacentral:rRNA from 1 species
UACGUAGGUGGCAAGCGUUGUCCGGAUUUAUUGGGCGUAAAGAGCUCGUAGGCGGUUUGUCGCGUCUGCCGUGAAAGUCCGGGGCUCAACUCCGGAUCUGCGGUGGGUACGGGCAGACUAGAGUGAUGUAGGGGAGACUGGAAUUCCUGGUGUAGCGGUGAAAUGCGCAGAUAUCAGGAGGAACACCGAUGGCGAAGGCAGGUCUCUGGGCAUUAACUGACGCUGAGGAGCGAAAGCAUGGGGAGCGAACAGG